rnacentral:rRNA from 1 species
UACGGAGGGUGCAAGCGUUGUCCGGAAUCACUGGGCGUAAAGGGCGCGUAGGCGGCUCAUGAAGGCUGUGGUGAAAGUCCGGGGCUCAACCUCGGAUCGGCCGUGGCGACUCGUGGGCUGGAGCACUGUAGAGGCAGACGGAAUUCCGGGUGUAGCGGUGGAAUGCGUAGAGAUCCGGAGGAAGACCGGUGGCGAAGGCGGUCUGCUGGGCAGUUUCUGACACUGAGGCGCGACAGCGUGGGGAGCAAACAGG